rnacentral:rRNA from 1 species
CAGGCCUAACACAUGCAAGUCGAACGCACCGCAAGGUGAGUGGCAGACGGGUGAGUAACACGUGGGAACGUGCCCUUCGGUUCGGAAUAACUCAGGGAAACUUGAGCUAAUACCGGAUGAUGACGUAAGUCCAAAGAUUUAUCGCCCAAGGAUGAGCCCGCGUCGGAUUAGCUAGUUGGUGGGGUAAAGGCCUACCAAGGCGACGAUCCGUAGCUGGUCUGAGAGGAUGAUCAGCCACACUGGGACUGAGACACGGCCCAGACUCCUACGGGAGGCAGCAGUGGGGAAUAUUGGACAAUGGGCGAAAGCCUGAUCCAGCAAUGCCGCGUGAGUGAUGAAGGCCCUACGGGUUGUAAAGCUCUUUUACNCCGGGAAGAUAAUGACUGUAGGGGGGAGAAUAAGCCCCGGCUAACUCCGUGCCAGCAGCCGCGGUAAU